AGAGUUUGAUCCUGGCUCAGAAUGAACGCUGGCGGCAGGCCUAACACAUGCAAGUCGAACGGGUGCCUUCGGGUGCUAGUGGCGGACGGGUGAGUAACGCGUGGGAACAUACCCUUUGGUACGGAAUAGCCUCGGGAAACUGAGAGUAAUACCGUAUGUGCCCUUCGGGGGAAAGAUUUAUCGCCAAAGGAUUGGCCCGCGUUGGAUUAGGUAGUUGGUGGGGUAAUGGCCUACCAAGCCGACGAUCCAUAGCUGGUUUGAGAGGAUGAUCAGCCACACUGGGACUGAGACACGGCCCAGACUCCUACGGGAGGCAGCAGUGGGGAAUCUUAGACAAUGGGGGAAACCCUGAUCUAGCCAUGCCGCGUGAUCGAUGAAGGCCUUAGGGUUGUAAAGAUCUUUCAGAUGGGAAGAUAAUGACGGUACCAUCAGAAGAAGCCCCGGCUAACUCCGUGCCAGCAGCCGCGGUAAUACGGAGGGGGCUAGCGUUAUCCGGAUUCAUUGGGUUUAAAGGGUGCGCAGGCGGAUUGUUAAGUCAGGGGUGAAAUCCUACAGCUCAACUGUAGAACUGCCCUUGAUACUGUCAGUCUAGAGUAUAGUUGAAGUGGGCGGAAUGUGUCAUGUAGCGGUGAAAUGCUUAGAUAUGACACAGAACACCGAUCGCGAAGGCAGCUCGCUAAGCUAUAACUGACGCUCAUGCACGAAAGCGUGGGGAUCAAACAGGAUUAGAUACCCUGGUAGUCC
rnacentral:rRNA from 1 species